CCCCGUGCCCCCCAGCACCACCACCCUGCACCGCUACGAGCUUCACCCCCUGGCCCCCCUCACCGCCAGCCCCGGCCCCGAGUUCAGCACCGCAGUCAAGGUGCAGAAUUUGGGGUGCUACCCCCUGGAGAACGUGACCCUGCACAUGGCCCUGCCCGCGCUGGGCCACGCCGGGGCCACCAUGCUGGCUGUCACCGAGGUGCUGCCUGACAACGCCACCUGCAGGCUGCACCCCCCCGAUAGAGGAGCCCCGGUGGUGCCGGUGCCCCCCGAGGAGAUGCUGAGAACAGAGAGGCUGGUAGGGCUGGG